rnacentral:rRNA from 1 species
UACAGAGGUGGCAAGCGUUGUUCGGAAUUACUGGGCGUAAAGGGCGCGUAGGCGGCCUUCUAAGUCAGACGUGAAAUCCCCCGGCUUAACCUGGGAACUGCGUCUGAUACUGGUUGGCUCGAGUUUGGGAGAGGGAUGCGGAAUUCCAGGUGUAGCGGUGAAAUGCGUAGAUAUCUGGAGGAACACCGGUGGCGAAGGCGGCAUCCUGGACCAACACUGACGCUGAGGAGCGAAAGCCAGGGGAGCAAACGGG